GACAGAGGCCUCGAGCGUUAGGCGGAAUCACUGGGCUUAAAGCGUGUGUAGGCGGGCCCGUAAGUGUCUUGUGAAAUCCCACGGCUCAACCGUGGAACUGCUGGGUAUACUGCGAGUCUUGAGCCACUUAGGGGCUGUCGGAACAGACGGUGGAGCGGUGAAAUGCGUAGAUAUCGUCUGGAACGCCAAAGGUGAAAACAGACAGCUGGGAGUGUGCUGACGCUGAGACACGAAAGCCAGGGGAGCGAACGGG
rnacentral:rRNA from 1 species